UGCUGUUUUUGGACUACAAAUCCCAUCAUUCCUAACCAGCAGGAUCAGUGGUCAGGGGUGAUAGGAUUUGUAGUCCAAAACCAGCU